AGACAGUUGUGCAAGUACUUUACUACGAGCAACAAUGUCUUCAUAAUGCCAUGGAUGGGAGCCAGCUUGUAGCAACCAAACCUCCUGCCCUUGUCCCUUCCAAGAUGAAUCAUCAGUUCUCUGCUGACCCUGAGGACUCGAGUCUAAAACGAGAAAAUCAGGAGCUGAAAUUUGAGCUUCUGAAAAUGAAGAUGAGGUUGAUGGAAAUUGAAAAACCGAAUUCAAACAGAUCAGUUACAAGCAGCCCUUUGGUCAUCACUCAUCCAUCUGCUGGUAAACCACCUUUGCCAAGUAAAUCUAACUUCAUGAGCUCAGUCUCAAAAAAGCUCAGAAUAUUAGUCGAGCUGAUGGACUCACGCAAGGCAAAACUCGAAAUAAACCAAAGUAAAGAUAGACGUCAUUCCAUAUCGUGAUUUGAGCUAGCUAUAUUUGUAUUAUUGUCUAAAUAUGGUACGGACUGGAUUCCAAAUCUAUGCAAGUCUAUAUGGUAGAUUAU
rnacentral:misc_RNA from 1 species